AUACGGAGGGUGCAAGCGUUACUCGGAAUCACUGGGCGUAAAGCGCGCGCAGGCGGCUAUUUAAGUUGGAUGUGAAAGCCUAUGGCUCAACCAUAGAACUGCAUCCAAAACUAUUUAGCUAGAGUGUAGGAGAGGAAGAUGGAAUUAGUUGUGUAGGGGUAAAAUCCGUAGAGAUAACUAGGAAUACCAAAAGCGAAGGCAAUCUUCUGGAACACUACUGACGCUGAGGCGCGAAAGCGUGGGGAGCAAACAGGAUUAGAAACCCUAGUAGUCC
rnacentral:rRNA from 1 species